UUCAACACAUUAAUUUGUUUCAUUCUCUAUAUCUAUAUGACCUAUGUCUUUUUUUAACUCUUCUCUCUUCUCACAAAUCAAAUAUUUUCUCAAAUUCUUCUCCCUUUUAAAGAAAACUUGUUCAAUUUUUCAUUAUAUUAAAUCUUUAAGAAUUGACAAGUUUUACGCUAGCUGUUGAUCGAUGACGAUGACUAAGUCCUAGUCAUGCUUUUCCACAGCUUUCUUGAACUUCUUCUUGCUAAAUUUUGAUCUCUAAAUUGAUAAUUUUGAGAUGAGAUUUGAAGCUAUGAAAGUCCAAGAAAGCUGUGGGAAAAGAUGGCAAGCUUUGGACUUAUUAUUUUUUUUACAUUUUCCUUCCUAUGGAGUACACUUUGAAGAUAAUCAAGCCAAAUUUUCAUGGAUAUAUAUAAGUACUGAGUUGCAAAAAUGUUGGCACCAUAAAGUUUUUCUUGAAUAAUUAUUGGACUUGUACAACACAAUUAUGUGUAAGAUUUAAACACCAAAGCUAGCUAGCUAGCUAGCUACUAGCGGAGGUGGAGUCAGAAUAUCGUAAGGGGUUUAAAUUAUUCAAAUUUUUUUAUUAAAAAAUUUAUUAAAUUUGUCUUCAAGUAUAUAUUAUCUCAAUUAUGUGUGUUAAUAAUAUAUAUAUACACACUGAUUGUGUUGUAUAAAUUUUUGAUUAA